rnacentral:lncRNA from 1 species
AGCACUCACUGCCACAUGAGGUGUGUCUGUGUAGGAUCAUUUAUUGUCACCCUCCCACACUAUAGUGAACCUCAGCUCCUGGAUUUGAGGUGCAGACUCCAGUGAAAUAGUUUUCUGCAAGGUCUUUCCACUGAAUAUGAACACAAGGAAGGAGAAAGCUGUGACACAGCAAGCAUUACAAAAGGAAACCUGUGUGUAUGACAGCUGUCACCACAUCCUGACACAGCUCAUAUUCCUCACAGAUGGAGAGAAGAUCCUUAGCAUUCCUGCUUUAUAGUAAAGAAAACCACACCGAAGAAGAUUCUUCAGACACAGGAUUCCACAGCCAGCGACAACAGAAGCAUCACACAGAGAGACAUCUUCUCAACAGGCUAGAGGCUUGGGAUCUCUACCUCAACUUGAAGGACUGGCUGUGAUCAUCCCUUUGGCAUGCUGUCCACCUCACACCAAAGCCACCCAACGCUGAGGAUCCCCACUCUCAGGC